UACGUAGGGGGCGAGCGUUGUCCGGAUUCAUUGGGCGUAAAGCGCGCGUAGGCGGCUUCGCAAGUCGGCCGUGAAAUCUCCGGGCUCAACUCGGAGGGGUCGGGCGAGACUGCGAGGCUCGAGGUGGGCAGAGGGCAGUGGAAUUCCGGGUGUAGUGGUGGAAUGCGUAGAGAUCCGGAGGAACACCAGUGGCGAAGGCGGCUGCCUGGGCCUGGCCUGACGCUGAGGUGCGAGAGCGUGGGGAGCGGAACCGG
rnacentral:rRNA from 1 species